GACGAACGCUGGCGGCGUGCUUAACACAUGCAAGUCGAACGGUGAAGCGCCUUCCUUUUUGGUGGGUGUGGAUGAGUGGCGAACGGGUGAGUAACACGUGAGUAACCUGCCCCCUUCUUCUGGAUAACCGCAUGAAAGUGUGGCUAAUACGGGAUAUUCUGGGUCUGUCGCAUGAUGGGUCUGGGAAAGAUAUUGUUUCGGUGGGGGAUGGGCUCGCGGCCUAUCAGCUUGUUGGUGGGGUGAUGGCCUACCAAGGCGGUGACGGGUAGCCGGCCUGAGAGGGUGGACGGUCACAAUGGGACUGAGACACGGCCCAGACUCAUACGGGAGGCAGAAGUGGGGAAUAUUGCACAAUGGGCGCAAGCCUGAUGCAGCGACGCCGCGUGAGGGAUGGAGGCCUUCAGGUUGUGAACCUCUUUCGCCAGUGAAGCAGGCCUGCCUCGUUUGUGGGUGGGUUGACGGUAGCUGGAUAAGAAGCGCCGGCUAACUACGUG
rnacentral:rRNA from 1 species